GUGGGGAAUAUUGGACAAUGGGGGCAACCCUGAUCCAGCCAUGCCGCGUGGGUGAAGAAGGCCUUAGGGUUGUAAAACCCUUUCAGUCGUGAAGAUGAUGACGGUAGCGACAGAAGAAGCCCCGGCUAACUCCGUGCCAGCAGCCGCGGUAAUACGGAGGGGGCAAGCGUUGUUCGGAAUUACUGGGCGUAAAGGGCGCGUAGGCGGAAGAUCAAGUCAGGGGUGAAAGGCCUGGGCUCAACCCAGGAAUUGCCUUUGAAACUGAUCAUCUAGAGACCGGGAGAGGAUAGCGGAAUUCCCAGUGUAGAGGUGAAAUUCGUAGAUAUUGGGAAGAACACCAGUGGCGAAGGCGGCUAUCUGGUCCGGUUCUGACGCUGAGGCGCGAAAGCGUGGGGAGCAAACAGGAUUAGAUACCCGAGUAGUCC
rnacentral:rRNA from 1 species